rnacentral:rRNA from 1 species
CGAAUGCCAAUUAAUUUAACUUGGGAGUCAGAACAUGGGUGAUAAGGUCCGUGUUCGAAAGGGAAACAGCCCAGACCACCAGCUAAGGUCCCAAAAUAUAUGUUAAGUGGAAAAGGAUGUGGCGUUGCCCAGACAACUAGGAUGUUGGCUUAGAAGCAGCCAUCAUUUAAAGAGUGCGUAAUAGCUCACUAGUCGAGUGACACUGCGCCGAAAAUGUACCGGGGCUAAACAUAUUACCGAAGCUGUGGAUUGUCCUUUGGACAAUGGUAGGAGAGCGUUCUAAGGGCGUUGAAGCAUGAUCGUAAGGACAUGUGGAGCGCUUAGAAGUGAGAAUGCCGGUGUGAGUAGCGAAAGACGGGUGAGAAUCCCGUCCACCGAUUGACUAAGGUUUCCAGAGGAAGGCUCGUCCGCUCUGGGUUAGUCGGGUCCUAAGCUGAGGCCGACAGGCGUAGGCGAUGGAUAACAGGUUGAUAUUCCUGUACCACCUAUAAUCGUUUUAAUCGAUGGGGGGACGCAGUAGGAUAGGCGAAGCGUGCGAUUGGAUUGCACGUCUAAGCAGUAAGGCUGAGUAUUAGGCAAAUCCGGUACUCGUUAAGGCUGAGC